AGAAAAGAGGGUGGUAUGGCUAGACCACUUGGUAUGAUGAGAGAAUUUCAUGAAUGCCUAAUGGACUGCGGGCUAGAUGACCUUGGCUAUACGGGUGACCUGUUCACUUGGAGGAGAGGCGAAAUACGUGAACGUCUUGAUCGGGGGGUCUGUAAUAUAGCGUGGGCAAACAAAUUUUCACGAGCGACAGUAAUCAUCGAAGAACACGUUCAUUCUGACCAGCGCCCAAUCGUACUAGAUACAGAUUACUUGGAUCAAAAAAUAUAUUUAAACGACCAAAGGGGCAGGUUAAACAGUUUGAGACGAGGUGGUUGA
rnacentral:rRNA from 1 species